rnacentral:rRNA from 1 species
UACGUAGGGGGCAAGCGUUGUCCGGAAUCAUUGGGCGUAAAGAGCGUGUAGGCGGCCCGAUAAGUCCGCUGUGAAAGUCCAGGGCUCAACCCUGGGAUGCCGGUGGAUACUGUCGGGCUCGAGUCCGGAAGAGGAGUGUGGAAUUCCUGGUGUAGCGGUGAAAUGCGCAGAUAUCAGGAGGAACACCAAUGGCGAAGGCAGCACUCUGGGACGUGACUGACGCUGAGACGCGAAAGUGUGGGGAGCAAACAGG